AUUGAACGCUGGCGGCAGGCUUAACACAUGCAAGUCGAGCGGAGAGAGGUAGCUUGCUACUGAUCUUAGCGGCGGACGGGUGAGUAAUGCUUAGGAAUCUGCCUAUUAGUGGGGGACAACAUUUCGAAAGGAAUGCUAAUACCGCAUACGUCCUACGGGAGAAAGCAGGGGAUCUUCGGACCUUGCGCUAAUAGAUGAGCCUAAGUCGGAUUAGCUAGUUGGUGGGGUAAGGGCAUACCAAGGCGACGAUCUGUAGCGGGUCUGAGAGGAUGAUCCGCCACACUGGGACUGAGACACGGCCCAGACUCCUACGGGAGGCAGCAGUGGGGAAUAUUGGACAAUGGGCGGAAGCCUGAUCCAGCCAUGCCGCGUGUGUGAAGAAGGCCUUAUGGUUGUAAAGCACUUUAAGCGAGGAGGAGGCUACUUUAGUUAAUACCUAGAGAUAGUGGACGUUACUCGCAGAAUAAGCACCGGCUAACUCUGUGCCAGCCGCCGCCGUAAUAC
rnacentral:rRNA from 1 species